rnacentral:misc_RNA from 1 species
GAAAAAGGUUGCCCAAAAGUUAUUUGGUGAAAUCUUUUGGAAAGUUUGGAGACUUUGGAAGCUACCCUCAUGGUACUGCUGGUACUAGCAAUGCAAAGGAGGCUUGUUCAAGUGGAGUAAAAAUUUCUAAAAUAGAAUAAGAACAAGAAGAAGAGAAUGUAGCAACUUAUAAGAAGGGAAAGGAAGAAAGUAAGCAAGCUGAGGUUGAAGAAAAAGAGAAAAAUGAUGAGAAGGGAGAUACUACAGAAGGAAAAUCAGAAGAAGAAAAAGAAUCCGAUAAGGAAAAAUCAAAUGAAACUUCCUCAUCUCAUACUAAAAGCAAC